AUGCUGGGUGGAUCUCGCCGAGGACAUAAGAGAUGGCGGAGGGAGAAACAUGCCGCCGACAUGGGAUACUUGGCUGCGUGGUCGUUCGGGUGGCGUGUGGUGGUCGGAGAUCUUCUUCGAAGCACGCUGGAGCAAAGGGUACCCUCGGCGGGCGCGAUUGGUGGUCUGAGGGGCAGGACUUCCUCACCGGAGCUACUCUACCACAGCGGGGCCGCAAUACAUAGAGCACGGAGAUCCUGGCAUCGGGUCGCCAUGUCGUUGCUCACCGGUGUAUCCAGGCCAUGAAGGACGACCGCCGUUGUAGUGCUUCGCCAAGGGAGAGUGGCAUGGGGGAGAUGAUGGCGGGCACCGUCGGAUCUAAUUUAUGCGAUCAGGAUUAGAUAGGGGGUGUACCCCCUUCAUGGUUGGGUUUGGGCCGUCCGAUCCAAAUCGGUCGGAUGAAAAGUGAUCUUAGUAUUUUAAAAUCUGGACCGUUGGAUCGUGAUCCAGUGGUCAAAUAUUGAUAUCA